rnacentral:misc_RNA from 1 species
UCACCCCUCAAGCCCCCGGCUUGGUGUUGGACGGUUUGGCGGAGGCCCCUCACGGGGCCCCCGCCCCUCCCAAAGACAAUGACGGCGGCCUCGUUGGACCCCCGGUACACUGAGUUCUUCACGGGACACGUACUGGAGUAAGGGUGCGCGGGGCACGGUCUGCCUCCCCUCUCAGGGAGAAUUUAUUUACAA